CGGAAUCGUAAUUUAAAUUAAAAUAUUAGCAUUGGAAGCUAAAAAUCAGGAUAUAACCUGCAUUCCGA
rnacentral:tRNA from 1 species